CCUACCCAUAUUGAAUGUCUAUCGUUCGAUUUUUCUCAAGAAUGAAACUUUGGUGGGGUUUCUGAUUAAUACUAGUAAGUCAUUAAGAGGUUCGAAAUAAUAUCACAGAAGACGAGACAGCAGAAAGACGAGACAGUGCAAAAAGAGACAAAGGUGGUGCAGUAGACUCACUAUUAUUAUUGCCUUAACUCAAUUUUCAAACCAAAAGCUCUCAGAAAGCAAACCCACAUUUGUCCCAUGGACAAGUGGAGAUUCUAUUGACCACACCCACU